rnacentral:rRNA from 1 species
GUGUAAACUCCUUUUAUAUAGGAAGAUAAUGACGGUACUAUAUGAAUAAGCACCGGCUAACUCCGUGCCAGCAGCCGCGGUAAUACGGAGGGUGCAAGCGUUACUCGGAAUCACUGGGCGUAAAGCGCGCGCAGGCGGGCUAAUAAGUUGGAUGUGAAAGCCUACGGCUCAACCGUAGAACUGCAUCCAAAACUGUUAGUCUAGAGUGUGGGAGAGGAAGAUGGAAUUAGUUGUGUAGGGGUAAAAUCCGUAGAGAUAACUAGGAAUACCAAAAGCGAAGGCAAUCUUCUGGAACAUUACUGACGCUGAGGCGCGAAAGCGUGGGGAGCAAACAGGAUUAGAUACCCUGGUAGUCCACGCCCUAAACGAUGAAUGUUAGUCGUCGGGUAGCUAGUCUAUUCGGUGAUGCAGCUAACGCAUUAAACAUUCCGCCUGGGGAGUACGGUCGCAAGAUUAAAACUCAAAGGAAUAGACGGGGACCCGCACAAGUGGUGGAGCAUGUGGUUUAAUUCGAAGAUACGCGAAGAACCUUACCUAGCCUUGACAUAUUUUAGAACACUUUAGAGAUAGAGUGGUGCCUUCGGGAGCUAAUAUACAGGUGCUGCACGGCUGUCGUCAGCUCGUGUCGUGAGUUGUUGGGUUAAGUCCCGCAACGAGCGCAACCCUCGUCACUAGUUACUAACGGUUCGGCCGAGGACUCUAGUGAGACUGCCUUCGCAAGGAGGAGGAAGGUGAGGACGACGUCAAGUCAUCAUGGCCCUUACGGCUAGGGCAACACACGUGCUACAAUGGCCAGGACAAUGAGAAGCGAUACCGCGAGGUGGAGCAAAUCUAUAAACCUGGUCUCAGUUCGGAUAGCAGUCUGCAACUCGACUGCUUGAAGCUGGAAUCACUAGUAAUCGUAGAUCAGCUAUGCUACGGUGAAUACGUUCCCGGGUCUUGUACACACCGCC